rnacentral:rRNA from 1 species
GGAAUCUUCCACAAUGGACGAAAGUCUGAUGGAGCAACGCCGCGUGAGUGAUGAAGGUUUUCGGAUCGUAAAACUCUGUUGUAAGGGAAGAACAAGUACGAGAGGUAAUGCUCGUACCUUGACGGUACCUUGCGAGAAAGCCACGGCUAACUACGUGCCAGCAGCCGCGGUAAUACGUAGGUGGCAAGCGUUGUCCGGAAUUAUUGGGCGUAAAGCGCGCGCAGGCGGCCUUUUAAGUCUGAUGUGAAAGCCCCCGGCUCAACCGGGGAGGGUCAUUGGAAACUGGAAGGCUUGAGUACAGAAGAGAAGAGUGGAAUUCCAUGUGUAGCGGUGAAAUGCGUAGAGAUGUGGAGGAACACCAGUGGCGAAGGCGACUCUUUGGUCUGUAACUGACGCUGAGGCGCGAAAGCGUGGGGAGCAAACAGGAUUAGAUACCCUGG